AACAAACGCUGGCGGCGUGCCUAAUACAUGCAAGUCGAACGGGGAAAGCUUUCGGGUGAGUACUAGUGGCGCACGGUGAGUAACGCGUGGAUAAUCUGCCUUAGAGUGGGGGAUAACUAGUCGAAAGAUUAGCUAAUACCGCAUAAGACCACAAGAACUGCGGUUCAAGGGGUCAAAGGUUUUUCGCUCUAAGAUGAGUCCGCGUAAGAUUAGCUAGUUGGUAGGGUAACGGCUUAGCAAGGCGACGAUCUUUAACUGGUCUGAGAGGAUGAUCAGUCACACUGGAACUGAGACACGGUCCAGACUCCUACGAGAGGCAGCAGUAAGGAAUAUUGCACAAUGGAGGAACCUCUGAUGCAGCGACGCCGCGUGAGUGAUGAAGGCCUUCGGGUCGUAAAGCUCUGUCGCAGGGGAAUAACACAAUGAAGGUACCCUGUAAGAAAGGAUCGGCUAACUUCGUGCCAGCCGCCGCGGUAAAAC
rnacentral:rRNA from 1 species